UGGGGAAUAUUGCGCAAUGGGGGGAACCCUGACGCAGCCAUGCCGCGUGAAUGAAGAAGGCCUUAGGGUUGUAAAGUUCUUUCGGUAUUGAGGAAGGUUGAUGUGUUAAUAGCACAUCAAAUUGACGUUAAAUACAGAAGAAGCACCGGCUAACUCCGUGCCAGCAGCCGCGGUAAUACGGAGGGUGCGAGCGUUAAUCGGAAUAACUGGGCGUAAAGGGCACGCAGGCGGUUAUUUAAGUGAGGUGUGAAAGCCCCGGGCUUAACCUGGGAAUUGCAUUUCAGACUGGGUAACUAGAGUACUUUAGGGAGGGGUAGAAUUCCGCGUGUAGCGGUGAAAUGCGUAGAGAUGUGGAGGAAUACCGAAGGCGAAGGCAGCCCCUUGGGAAUGUACUGACGCUCAUGUGCGAAAGCGUGGGGAGCAAACAGGAUUAGAUACCCUGGUAGUCCACGCUGUAAACGCUGUCGAUUUGGGGGUUGGGGUUUAACUCUGGCGCCCGUAGCUAACGUGAUAAAUCGACCGCCUGGGGAGUACGGCCGCAAGGUUA
rnacentral:rRNA from 1 species